AUUUAAACGAUGAAGAGAAAGAAAAGUAGGCAACUUUAAGUCAUGGACAUUUAAACGAUGCCGUUAGGUCCCGUAACUUGUGGUUGGUUAGGGCUUGGAGGGCCUGUCUUCAACCAUUUUCUGAUUGUCACAAGCUAAAAACCCGACCAGCUGCUCGGAGGGAUUUUUUACAUUUAUUCUGCACUGAAACAAUUGGAAAAUCCCAAUCCCUUUUCUGUAUAUUUUCUUUGGGGGCAGAAAGGCAGAAACUUGUUUGUUCUCUUGAAGAUUAAGCAUGCCAUCUGAGGACUCGAAGUUAGUGAAAAAGGAGGAACCCGAAGAGGAUAAUUAGGACCUCAAAAGCCUGAGUUCGAUGGGGGAGAAUCGUAAGAAGAAACCCUCGAGUAAUAGCAAUAAUGCUGCUAUUUCUAACUCGAAAUUGCGUCCCAAAGAAGCCAAAGUGAAGAAAGAAGAGCUGGUAGAGACUGAUGAUGAAGACGAAAAACCCAUCUCUAAAAGGAGCUCCGCUACUAAAACGACCAAGCCCAAGAAGGAAGAGAGCGACGAUGAAGACAAAAAACCAAUCUCCAAAAGGAGCUCCGCUACUAAAGCAGAUAAGGAAAAAGAAAUGAAGAAAAAGAAGAAAAAGGGGGAAGAAAAGAAAGCGGCUGCUGGGAAGGAAGUGAAGCGGGAGAAAAAGGUUUAUGAUUUGCCCGGUCAGAAGAGGGAUCCUCCUGAGGAGAGGGAUCCACUGCGGAUAUUUUAUGAAACAAUGUACCAGCAAAUUCCCCAUAGUGAAAUGGCACAAUUCUGUGAAUAUACACCAAGGCUUAUAAAGAAAUUAGAGGGCUUCAGGGUCAAAAGAGUUGCAGCUGGCUUGUUGCAUUCAACAUGCAUUGAUGAUCUUAAUUUGUCUAGGUAUUGCAGAAACUGGGUCUUUGUUUGUGUUUGGGGAUAAAGUGGUAGCUAAUCUUGGAUUUGGGGAGGCCAAGAAUGUAACCAUGCCAUCCAUGAUCAAUACAUUGCCAUAUUCAGAAGAAGUUGCAUGUGGUGGCUACCACACUUGUGUUGUAACAAUCAGGUGACCGAGAUUCCGUUUAACAAUUUUUUUUAUUGCUGGAACAAGUCUUAACCAAGAUCAAGAUCAAAGUACUUCACUAAGUUAUAUAUACAGGCAUUGCAAUUAGAGGUGAUGAUGAUUUGGCAUUAUAUUCUCACCAGGAUGAAUUUUGUUUUAGAAAUUGUAAUACUUUGUGUGUCUCUGUGUAUGUGUGUGUUUUUUAUGUAUUAAAUUACCUAUUGAAUCAAUGUUUAUGUAUUAAAUUUAAAUUCAUUAAUUUUUAUAUUUAGUUUUGAAGUUUAAAUUUUAAUGGAAAA